rnacentral:tRNA from 1 species
AAGGCUUUAGCUUAAUUAAAGUACCUGUUUUGCAUACAGGAGAUGUGGGGUAGUGUCCUGCAAGUUUUA